UCCCUGGUGGUCCAGUGGCUACAACUCCUCGCUCCCAAUGCAGAGGGCCCAGGUUCAAUCCCUGGUCAGGGAA
rnacentral:tRNA from 1 species